CACAUGCAAGUCGAGGGGCAUCACGAGGUAGCAAUACUUUGGUGGCGACCGGCGCACGGGUGCGUAACGCGUAUGUAACCUACCUAUAACAGGGGCAUAACACUGAGAAAUUGGUACUAAUUCCCCAUAAUAUUCGGAGAGGCAUCUCUCCGGGUUGAAAACUCCGGUGGUUAUAGAUGGACAUGCGUUGUAUUAGCUAGUUGGUGAGGUAACGGCUCACCAAGGCAACGAUACAUAGGGGGACUGAGAGGUUAACCCCCCACACUGGUACUGAGACACGGACCAGACUCCUACGGGAGGCAGCAGUGAGGAAUAUUGGUCAAUGGACGCAAGUCUGAACCAGCCAUGCCGCGUGCAGGAAGACGGCUCUAUGAGUUGUAAACUGCUUUUGUACGAGGGUAAACUCACCUACGUGUAGGUGACUGAAAGUAUCGUACGAAUAAGGAUCGGCUAACUCCGUGCCAGCAGCCGCGGUAAUACGGAGGAUUCAAGCGUUAUCCGGAUUUAUUGGGUUUAAAGGGUGCGUAGGCGGUUUGAUAAGUUAGAGGCGAAAUCCCGGGGCUUAACUCCGGAACUGCCUCUAAUACUGUUAGACUAGAGAGUAGUUGCGGUAGGCGGAAUGUAUGGUGUAGCGGUGAAAUGCUUAGAGAUCAUACAGAACACCGAUUGCG
rnacentral:rRNA from 1 species